rnacentral:rRNA from 1 species
UACGAAGGGGGCUAGCGUUGCUCGGAAUCACUGGGCGUAAAGGGUGCGUAGGCGGGUAUUUAAGUCAGAGGUGAAAUCCUGGAGCUCAACUCCAGAACUGCCUUUGAUACUGAGUAUCUUGAGUACGGGAGAGGUGAGUGGAACUGCGAGUGUAGAGGUGAAAUUCGUAGAUAUUCGCAAGAACACCAGUGGCGAAGGCGGCUCACUGGCCCGAUACUGACGCUGAGGCACGAAAGCGUGGGGAGCAAACAGG